rnacentral:rRNA from 1 species
CCCUAUGGGGUGCAGCAGGCGGCGAUCGAAAUGGUGGAUAUUACUGAGGCCAUCGCUCAUGAAGAGCACUCGAUUAUGCAGUUGUUCAAGCCGGGUUUGCGCAUGGCAAUGAUGAUUGGUUUUGCCUUGGCGAUAUUGCAGCAGAUUACCGGAAUCAACGUCGUGCUGUAUUACGCGCCGGAAAUUUUUAAGAGCGCGGGCUUGGGAGCGACGGCGGCGAUAGCGCAGACGGUUAUUGUGGGGGUGGUGAACCUUGGAUUUACAGUCGUAGCCAUCCUGGUGGUGGAUGGUCUGAGCCGAAGACCAUUGCUGUUGAUUGC